rnacentral:lncRNA from 1 species
AGAACAGCUCACAUUGAGUUAGUUUCUUGAUGGAUUUACACAUGAACACACAAACCCAAUUUUGGUGUUCUUGUGAUUCUCUUUGAGUGUAGCACGUGCUGCUCACUCUUGAUUUGUCCCAGGCUCAUAACCUGGCCCUAUUCCGCAUAUAUUCUAACAUGGUAUCAGAGCCAUGGUUAGGAGAACCAUGGUUUCAAAGCUACAAAGCAAGGCCCUUGAAGAAGAGACUCAUGGGGGAAAGAAGAGGGAAGAGAUCCAUGGGAUGUCUUAGAACGAAAAGUUCAAGCAUUUAAAAUCAUGAUGAAUCCAAAAG